rnacentral:rRNA from 1 species
GAGUGAAAUAGAACCUGAAACCGUGUGCUUACAAGUAGUCAGAGCCCGUUAAUGGGUGAUGGCGUGCCUUUUGUAGAAUGAACCGGCGAGUUACGAUUUGAUGCAAGGUUAAGCAGUAAAUGUGGAGCCGUAGCGAAAGCGAGUCUGAAUAGGGCGUUUAGUAUUUGGUCGUAGACCCGAAACCAGGUGAUCUACCCUUGGUCAGGUUGAAGUUCAGGUAACACUGAAUGGAGGACCGAACCGACUUACGUUGAAAAGUGAGCGGAUGAACUGAGGGUAGCGGAGAAAUUCCAAUCGAACCUGGAGAUAGCUGGUUCUCUCCGAAAUAGCUUUAGGGCUAGCCUCAAGUGAUGAUUAUUGGAGGUAGAGCACUGUUUGGACGAGGGGCCCCUCUCGGGUUACCGAAUUCAGACAAACUCCGAAUGCCAAUUAAUUUAACUUGGGAGUCAGAACAUGGGUGAUAAGGUCCGUGUUCGAAAGGGAAACAGCCCAGACCACCAGCUAAGGUCCCAAAAUAUAUGUUAAGUGGAAAAGGAUGUGGCGUUGCCCAGACAACUAGGAUGUUGGCUUAGAAGCAGCCAUCAUUUAAAGAGUGCGUAAUAGCUCACUAGUCGAGUGACACUGCGCCGAAAAUGUACCGGGGCUAAACAUAUUACCGAAGCUGUGGAUUGUCCUUUGGACAAUGGUAGGAGAGCGUUCUAAGGGCGUUGAAGCAUGAUCGUAAGGACAUGUGGAGCGCUUAGAAGUGAGAAUGCCGGUGUGAGUAGCGAAAGACGGGUGAGAAUCCCGUCCACCGAUUGACUAAGGUUUCCAGAGGAAGGCUCGUCCGCUCUGGGUUAGUCGGGUCCUAAGCUGAGGCCGACAGGCGUAGGCGAUGGAUAACAGGUUGAUAUUCCUGUACCACCUAUAAUCGUUUUAAUCGAUGGGGGGACGCAGUAGGAUAGGCGAAGCGUGCGAUUGGAUUGCACGUCUAAGCAGUAAGGCUGAGUAUUAGGCAAAUCCGGUACUCGUUAAGGCUGAGCUGUGAUGGGGAGAAGACAUUGUGUCUUCGAGUCGUUGAUUUCACACUGCCGAGAAAAGCCUCUAGAUAGAAAAUAGGUGCCCGUACCGCAAACCGACACAGGUAGUCAAGAUGAGAAUUCUAAGGUGAGCGAGCGAACUCUCGUUAAGGAACUCGGCAAAAUGACCCCGUAACUUCGGGAGAAGGGGUGCUCUUUAGGGUUAACGCCCAGAAGAGCCGCAGUGAAUAGGCCCAAGCGACUGUUUAUCAAAAACACAGGUCUCUGCUAAACCGUAAGGUGAUGUAUAGGGGCUGACGCCUGCCCGGUGCUGGAAGGUUAAGAGGAGUGGUUAGCUUCUGCGAAGCUACGAAUCGAAGCCCCAGUAAACGGCGGCCGUAACUAUAACGGUCCUAAGGUAGCGAAAUUCCUUGUCGGGUAAGUUCCGACCCGCACGAAAGGCGUAACGAUUUGGGCACUGUCUCAACGAGAGACUCGGUGAAAUCAUAGUA